CCAUUCUGACUGAUGGCACAGCUGUCAGAGGCCAGGCCUCCCAUCAGGCCUCUCAAAGGACUUCCAGGACAGAGAGUCUGAUCUGCUGCUCAGCCGCAGGCAGUCUCUGGGCGGACACAGCUGAUGGCCAUUUGCUUCCGGUGGAGAGGAGAGGCACAAUGCUCCUGGAGAAGCCAGGCCAUAAGCUUUUCUUUGGGCUCUGGGCUCAGGCUGAGCAGGGACCAGGGGACUGCACAGACAGGGUUCAGGAUCCAGAGAUAACCCCACUAUGCCCUGGCUCUCUGUAUGAAGCAGAGGCUGGGCCAAGACGGCCAAAGCUUAAAACAGUGACAGACUUCAACACACUCGCCUGAAAAGGGAGACGGUUGACACGGGAGUCUACUGGAAAGGCUGUCGGGAGGUUAUGUCGAGAUAACCGACACCAACUGUCCGGCACGGGCGGGAGCUUAAGAAACAGAGACCCACUAUGGGCCCGGUGCUGUGGCUGGACAAUAAAGACGCAGAGAGGACAGACAUAGCGGACCACAAGAACUCUCAGUUCCAGUGGUUAAGAUGCAGGGUUUGACUUUGGGCUCUUCUUUCUCAUCUAAACACUUGAACUCCCAUGCCCAGGUGAGGAUCUCUUCCUCCUCCAGCUGAAUGGUCCCCCGGAGUAACUCCUUCCUGAAUGUCUCUGCCUCCAUGUUUCAUCCUGAGGUGCUGCUCACAUGGCCCCCACCCCAAAUGUGGAUUAGAUGCACCUCCUGGGGCUCCUGGAUGGCUCAGUGGGUUGGGCCUCUGCCUUCAGCUCUGGUCAUGAUCUCAGGGUCCUUGGAUCGAGCCCUGCGCAUCUGGCUCUCUG